rnacentral:rRNA from 1 species
GUGGCGAACGGGUGAGUAACACGUGAGCGAUCUGCCCUUGACUCUGGGAUAACUGCGGGAAACUGUAGCUAAUACCGGAUAUUACCUUGGAAGGCAUCUUCUGGGGUGGAAAGAAUUUUGGUCAAGGAUGAGCUCGCGGCCUAUCAGCUAGUUGGUGAGGUAAUGGCUCACCAAGGCGACGACGGGUAGCCGGCCUGAGAGGGUGACCGGCCACACUGGGACUGAGACACGGCCCAGACUCCUACGGGAGGCAGCAGUGGGGAAUAUUGCACAAUGGGCGCAAGCCUGAUGCAGCAACGCCGCGUGAGGGACGACGGACUUCGGGUUGUAAACCUCUUUUAGUAGGGAAGAAGCGACUGGGUUUUCCUGGGAGUGACGGUACCUGCAGAAAAAGCACCGGCUAACUACGUGCCAGCAGCCGCGGUAAUACGUAGGGUGCAAGCGUUGUCCGGAAUUAUUGGGCGUAAAGAGCUCGUAGGCGGUUUGUCGCGUCUGCUGUGAAAACCCGAGGCUCAACCUCGGGCCUGCAGUGGGUACGGGCAGACUAGAGUGCGGUAGGGGAGAUUGGAAUUCCUGGUGUAGCGGUGGAAUGCGCAGAUAUCAGGAGGAACACCAAUGGCGAAGUCAGAUCUCUGGGCCGUAACUGACGCUGA